GCGCGACUAGCUCAGGGGUAGAGCGCUUGGUUGACAUCCAAGAGGUCGGUGGUUCGAGACCACCGUCGCGUA
rnacentral:tRNA from 1 species